UCUAGACGAUAUCUAGACGUGCUGAUAUUGAAAUCGUGGAAACAGCUACAUCCACUUAAUUUCGUUGAAAACCGUUAAUCGUCUAACGGAACGUCGUCGGAGGUGACCUUGGUUUCACCUAGUCUACAUUGGACAGUUUGGUCUAUUGAAGCAGAGUACAACAGCAAACUUCGUCGUACUACCAGAGUAGCAGCAGAAGCAGUGAACUAUUUUUAGAGAACCGUUAUUCGUCAGCCCAGAUCAAGUCAUCGUCAAGAAAGUCGUUAUUCGUCAGCCCAGAUCAAGUCAUCGUCAAGAAACUCGUUAUUCGUCAGUCGUCCAGAUCAAGUUGCCGUCAAGAGACUGUUAUUUGUCAGUAGUCGUCUACACAAGUCAAGUCAUCGCCAGAAGAACCGUUAACCUAUUCGUCAGUAACUGUGUACACAAAGUCGUCGGAACUACACAUACGGUCAUCAACAGUCGUCGAAGGAACUGAAACAUUUUGCUGUGGCAUAUCAGGACAUCUGUGGCAUUACGUGGGAUACUGGUAGCACCGGAGAACAGAGUCAGAACUGGAAGAGAGGCAGUGGAAUUUGUUGUGAUCUAGCAUAUUCGGGAGUCCGAACAAAGGGAUCUUUCUUAUCAAAAGCUAAGUGCCAUUUUUCUUAUUAGUGUAUGUUUAGAUUGCCCUUAGAAAUAGAUUUUGUCUAAAUUUGGUAUGUUAGCCUGAGUAAAUUCAGGUGGUGCUGAAGCCUUAAACCAGUUCGGGGUAAAGACAUAAUUUAGAUGAAAAGCUAUAUUAUACGUUUAGAGUUGUAAUUUGUUUUGUUUGUGUAAACGUCAUAUCCGUUGUUGCCUAGUUACUUCGUGACGUUAUCAUUGUGUGCCAUAUUGUCAUAUCCCAACCCAUAGCGAUAGUCUCAUUUUAAUUAUUUCAUUUGUUUAUAUUAUUUUAAAUUAUUUAUUUUUAUUAAUUUAAUUAGAUCUGUAUUUUUUUUCACUUAAUGAUAGAAAGUGCGGGUAGGAUUCUUUUACUGUGAAUCAGACUAAAAUAAUUUUAGUUUGAGCGGUUAAAAUCAAAUAUGAUUUUACCAUGAGAAUAAUGCCGAAACUGGCUAUGUAGUCAAACACUGUCGUCUGGCUAAAUUUGGAUCUACAAAUUUUGUACAUCUCUUUGGUACAAUUUAAUUAUCUAGACUCUAAUUUGAAAUAUUAUUAAUUGAAAAAUGAAUGAAGAUUACUGCCAGUGAAGAACGCUUGUGACGUAUGACGUGUCCAUAAGAUGCCACAUUUUCUUUCAUGAUGAACUGUGUACUAAUGAAGAUGACUUUGGAAUGUUAUGAACAUUGACAUGUAUAUGAGGAACUGUCAAGUCAAGAUGAAGAGAUCAAGAUUUUAUGUUUGUGGUCUUCCCCUUAAAUUGAAAAUGCCCUUGUAAGACUUGACAGUAGUGGAAAAAUAUUGACAUAUUUUUUUUUCAAGGGGGGGAGGAAUCUGUUAGACACCUUAUUUAUAUAGGUUAGUUAUUUAGCGACGCACCAUAGAAGACGCAUAUUGAACGGGACUAGUGACGUUUGGGAUAUGUUGGGUUAGAGACCGGAAAAUCAGUUAGCGAUAGAACACUCCAGGGUGACGACGUGUUUAGUGACAGAGACUUCUACUGUGGCCUUUUAUCAGAAUAAAUCUAUGUGAACUUGUU